GACGAACGCUGGCGGCGUGCUUAACACAUGCAAGUCGAACGGUGAACCUCUUCGGAGGGGAUCAGUGGCGAACGGGUGAGUAACACGUUGACAACCUGCCCCCGGCUCUGUGAUAACUCCAAGAAAUUGGGGCUAAUACCGGAUGUUCACCGCUUCCCUCAUGGGUGGUGGUGCAAAGGUUGUCCGGCUGGGGAUGGUCCCGCGGCCUAUCAGCUUGUUUGUGUGGUAGUGGCCUACCAAGGCGACGACGGGUAGCCGGCCUGAGAGGGUGACCGGCCACAAUGGGACUGAGACACGGAGCAGACUCCUACGGGAGGCAGCAGUGGGGAAUAUUGCGCAAUGGGCGGAAGCCUGACGCAGCGACGCCGCGUGGGGGAUGACGGCCUUCGGGUUGUAAACCUCUUUCAGCAGGGACGAAGCGAAAGUGACGGUACCUGCAGAAGAAGCACCGGCUAACUACGUG
rnacentral:rRNA from 1 species